CAACAUCUUGAGCUAUAUUCUUUAUGACUAAAGCCAUGCUGAAUGUAAGGAUCUGAGGGCAGAGCUUACAGGAGGAGGAGUGCCUUUUGGACUGUGGGUCACUUCGACAUGGCGAUGCAGACCUACCUAGAGAGUCAGGCAUGGAUGGUUAGGAUUUAAGAUUUUGACAAGGAAAACUCAGUCAGAUUUAAACCUUUGCGAUCGCUUCAAAGGAAGAGAGCACUAAGGUAAGGUCAAGUUUUCUUGCCCAGUGGAGAGGACUAGUUGCACGAAUCUACAUUUAUUCUGUUGUCA
rnacentral:lncRNA from 1 species